rnacentral:rRNA from 1 species
CUCUGUCCUCAAGGAAGAUAAUGACGGUACUUGAGGAGGAAGCCCCGGCUAACUACGUGCCAGCAGCCGCGGUAAUACGUAGGGGGCUAGCGUUAUCCGGAUUUACUGGGCGUAAAGGGUGCGUAGGCGGUCUUUCAAGUCAGGAGUGAAAGGCUACGGCUCAACCGUAGUAAGCUCUUGAAACUGGGAGACUUGAGUGCAGGAGAGGAGAGUGGAAUUCCUAGUGUAGCGGUGAAAUGCGUAGAUAUUAGGAGGAACACCAGUUGCGAAGGCGGCUCUCUGGACUGUAACUGACGCUGAGGCACGAAAGCGUGGGGAGCAAACAGGAUUAGAUACCCUGGUAGUCCACGCUGUAAACGAUGAGUACUAGGUGUCGGGGGUUACCCCC